UACAGAGGUCUCGAGCGUUGUUCGGAUUCAUUGGGCGUAAAGGGCGCGUAGGCUGCGAGGCAAGUCGGGUGUGAAAUCUCAGAGCUCAACUCUGAAACUGCACUCGAUACUGCUUUGCUUGAGGACUGGAGAGGAGAUUGGAAUUCACGGUGUAGCAGUGAAAUGCGUAGAUAUCGUGAGGAAGACCAGUGGCGAAGGCGGAUCUCUGGACAGUUCCUGACGCUGAGGCGCGAAGGCCAGGGGAGCAAACGGG
rnacentral:rRNA from 1 species